AAGGUGGACAUAUAAGUCCCUUUGCACCUUAAGUUGGCCUUGCCGAAAGUCGGGUCAUUUUGAGAGUAAUCUCUCCGAUAGUCAGGCCACAUUGAGAGUAAUAUCUCCGAUAGUCGGGCCGUUUUGAGAGUAAUCUCUCCGAUAUUCAAGCCACAUUCUGUGGACAUAUAAGUCUUCCAAUCUUAAGGUGGACAUAUAAGUCCCUUUGCACCUUAAGUUGGCCUCUUCGCGGGUUUGUCCUUAAAAGGAAUUAUAACUUUCCAAUCUUAAGGUGGACAUAUAAGUCCCUUUGCACCUUAAGUUGGCCUUGCCGAAAGUUGGGUCGUUUUGAGAGUAAUCUCUCUGAUAGUCAGGCCACAUUGAGAGUAAUCUCUCCGAUAGUCGGACCGUUUUGGGAGUAAUCUCUCCGAUAGUCAGGCCACAUUGAGAGUAAUCUCUCCGAUAGUCGGGCCGUUUUGAGAGUAAUCUCUCCGAUAGUCAAGCCACAUUAUGUGGACAUAUAACUCUUCCAAUCUUAAGGUGGACAUAUAAGUCCCUUGCACCUUAAGUUGGCCUAUUUGCGGAUUUGUCCUUAAAAGGAACUAUAACUUUCCAAUCUUAAGGUGGACAUAUGAGUUCCUUUGCACCUUAAGUUGGCCUUGCCGAAAGUCGGGUCGUUUUGAGAGUAAUCUCUCCAAUAGUCGGGCCACAUUGAGAGUAAUCUCUACGAUAGUUGGGCCGUUUUGAGAGUAAUCUCUCCGAUAGUCGAGCCACAUUGAGAGUAAUCUCU
rnacentral:lncRNA from 1 species